GUCGUUCCUACUUCCUAUAGGCUUCAAUGCCUGACACUUUUGGAUGGAGCAUAUUUUUGUUAAUGAUUAACAAGUGUGUUUCCUAUGUUGGUGCGCAUGUUAUUGCUUCCUGUUAACAAAUUUUCACUGACAAAGGGCAUAAUUUAGUUUCUAUCUUCCACUUCUAAGGACUUGACUGUUUGAUCAAACAUGCAUAACUAGGCAAUUUAAGUGUCAUUUGUUGGGAAAUUUAAGUGUCAUCUAUUAGGCAGCAAUGUGCACCCAAUUAGGCAAUUUAGCCUUUUGUUACAAAUAUAGAGGUUCAUUAAUUUAUGUGUGCUGCUAUAUUGUCAUGACAUGCGUGCAACUCAUUUAUUUUCAUUCAUUCACCAUAUGGAGCAGCAGCUCAGUAGUUUACUUUUCUCUUUGCCGAUACAAAUAUUAUUUUUGCAUGUUUUGUCCCUUCUGGGCUGACCUCCGCCCCAUACACGCUCGUUGACCGUAGGCUCAUGAGCAGGCAGCUACAGGACGCCUUCCUUAAGAUCAGGCUGACACCUCAUCAGCGAAGGAGGUGUGAGGCCAUCAAGCAUCAAAAUGAACAUAUGCAGCAACCAUGUGUAGCAGCUAACACAAGGAAGUCGAAUGCAAUAGGAGUACCAUGUGCAGCAGUUAACAUAAGAAGGUUUAAUGUAGCAAUAUGCGUAUCUAUAGGAGUGGUGCAUAUAGUAUAUAUCUAUGUUAACUAGUAAGAGCAACAUCUGGUAGUAAGAUGUGUAGUAAGAACAUUAGUCAUUUACAUGUCUAAGUUAGUAUCAGAUCUGCUAAUGCAGUAGGAACUGCAAUACUAUAUAAUUGCUUAUGCAAAAGAGCUAGAUUGCUUAUGUAAAAUGACUGAAUUGCUUAUGCAAAAGUAAUUAAUUACUCAUAAGUUAGGAUCAUAUCUGCUUAUGGUGUAGGAACAACAGAUAUCAAGUGAUGCAAAAGAACUGAAUUGCUUCUAGUAAUAGAUGUGGUUGGUGAUGCAAAAGAACUGAAUUGCUUCUCGUAACAGAUCUGUCUGGUUCUUUUUUUUAUCAUUGUGUAAUUCUAGUGUCAGAGAAGAAGUUGGUUAUCUGCAGUUGAUAGUAUCAAUUUGCAUAUUUUAUACGUACCUACUGUUUUGAAUAUAUUGUUCUGCUUUUGUUU